AAACUACUCCCUCCGUCCCAAAAUUCUUGUCUUAGAUUUGUCUAGAUACGGAUGUAUCAAGUCACAUUUUAGUAUUAGAUACAUCCGUAUCUAGACAAAUCUAAGACAAGAAAUUUGGGACAGAGGGAUUAGUUG
rnacentral:pre_miRNA from 1 species